rnacentral:rRNA from 1 species
CGGGGUGCAGCAGGCGCGAAAACUUUACAAUGCCGGCAACGGCGAUAAGGGAACCUCGAGUGCCAGGUUACAAAUCUGGCUGUCGUGAUGCCUAAAAAGCAUUGCAUAGCAGGGGCCGGGCAAGACCGGUGCCAGCCGCCGCGGUAACACCGGCGGCUCGAGUGGUAACCGUUAUUAUUGGGUCUAAAGGGUCUGUAGCCGGCCGGGUAAGUCUCUUGGGAAAUCUGGCAGCUUAACUGUCAGGCUUUCAGGAGAUACUGCCUGGCUCGAGGCCGGGAGAGGUGAGAGGUACUUCAGGGGUAGGGGUGAAAUCUUGUAAUCCUUGAAGGACCACCAGUGGCGAAGGCGUCUCACCAGAACGGACCUGACGGCAAGGGACGAAAGCUAGGGGCACGAACCGGAUUAGAUACCCGGGUAGUCCUAGCCGUAAACGAUACUCGCUAGGUGUCGGCCACGGUGCGACCGUGGUCGGUGCCGUAGGGAAGCCGUGAAGCGAGCCACCUGGGAAGUACGGCCGCAAGGCUGAAACUUAAAGGAAUUGGCGGGGGAGCAC